CGAUUGGAUAGCAUCUGGGAUGCAAUUCAUUUACACUGAAUAAAAGGGGGGUUCAAUUCCCCUUCCAUCGA
rnacentral:tRNA from 1 species